rnacentral:rRNA from 2 species
GGGUUGUGAGGUUAAGCGACUAAGCGUACACGGUGGAUGCCCUGGCAGUCAGAGGCGAUGAAGGACGUGCUAAUCUGCGAAAAGCGUCGGUAAGGUGAUAUGAACCGUUACAGCCGGCGAUGUCCGAAUGGGGAAACCCAGUGCAAUUCGUUGCACUAUCGUUAACUGAAUACAUAGGUUAACGAGGCGAACCGGGGGAACUGAAACAUCUAAGUACCCCGAGGAAAAGAAAUCAACCGAGAUUCCCCCAGUAGCGGCGAGCGAACGGGGAGCAGCCCAGAGUCUGAAUCAGCUUGUGUGUUAGUGGAACGGUCUGGAAAGUCCGACGGUACAGGGUGAUAGUCCCGUACACCAAAAUGCACAGGCUGUGAACUCGAAGAGUAGGGCGGGACACGUGGUAUCCUGUCUGAAUAUGGGGGGACCAUCCUCCAAGGCUAAAUACUCCUGACUGACCGAUAGUGAACCAGUACCGUGAGGGAAAGGCGAAAAGAACCCCGGCGAGGGGAGUGAAAAAGAACCUGAAACCGUGUACGUACAAGCAGUGGGAGCACCUUCGGGUGUGACUGCGUACCUUUUGUAUAAUGGGUCAGCGACUUAUAUUCUGUAGCAAGGUUAACCGUAUAGGGGAGCCGCAGGGAAACCGAGUCUUAACUGGGCGUUAAGUUGCAGGGUAUAGACCCGAAACCCGGUGAUCUAGCCAUGGGCAGGUUGAAGGUUGGGUAACACUAACUGGAGGACCGAACCGACUAAUGUUGAAAAAUUAGCGGAUGACUUGUGGCUGGGGGUGAAAGGCCAAUCAAACCGGGAGAUAGCUGGUUCUCCCCGAAAGCUAUUUAGGUAGCGCCUCGUGAACUCAUCUUCGGGGGUAGAGCACUGUUUCGGCUAGGGGGUCAUCCCGACUUACCAACCCGAUGCAAACUACGAAUACCGAAGAAUGUUAUCACGGGAGACACACGGCGGGUGCUAACGUCCGUCGUGAAGAGGGAAACAACCCAGACCGCCAGCUAAGGUCCCAAAGUCAUGGUUAAGUGGGAAACGAUGUGGGAAGGCACAGACAGCCAGGAUGUUGGCUUAGAAGCAGCCAUCAUUUAAAGAAAGCGUAAUAGCUCACUGGUCGAGUCGGCCUGCGCGGAAGAUGUAACGGGGCUAAACCAUGCACCGAAGCUGCGGCAGCGACACUAUGUGUUGUUGGGUAGGGGAGCGUUCUGUAAGCCUGCGAAGGUGUGCUGUGAGGCAUGCUGGAGGUAUCAGAAGUGCGAAUGCUGACAUAAGUAACGAUAAAGCGGGUGAAAAGCCCGCUCGCCGGAAGACCAAGGGUUCCUGUCCAACGUUAAUCGGGGCAGGGUGAGUCGACCCCUAAGGCGAGGCCGAAAGGCGUAGUCGAUGGGAAACAGGUUAAUAUUCCUGUACUUGGUGUUACUGCGAAGGGGGGACGGAGAAGGCUAUGUUAGCCGGGCGACGGUUGUCCCGGUUUAAGCAUGUAGGCUGGUUAUCCAGGCAAAUCCGGAUAAUCAAGGCUGAGGUGUGAUGACGAGGCACUACGGUGCUGAAGUAACAAAUGCCCUGCUUCCAGGAAAAGCCUCUAAGCAUCAGGUAACAUCAAAUCGUACCCCAAACCGACACAGGUGGUCAGGUAGAGAAUACCAAGGCGCUUGAGAGAACUCGGGUGAAGGAACUAGGCAAAAUGGUGCCGUAACUUCGGGAGAAGGCACGCUGGUGUGUAGGUGAAGUCCCUGCGGAUGGAGCUGAGACCAGUCGAAGAUACCAGCUGGCUGCAACUGUUUAUUAAAAACACAGCACUGUGCAAACACGAAAGUGGACGUAUACGGUGUGACGCCUGCCCGGUGCCGGAAGGUUAAUUGAUGGGGUUAUCCGUAAGGAGAAGCUCUUGAUCGAAGCCCCGGUAAACGGCGGCCGUAACUAUAACGGUCCUAAGGUAGCGAAAUUCCUUGUCGGGUAAGUUCCGACCUGCACGAAUGGCGUAAUGAUGGCCAGGCUGUCUCCACCCGAGACUCAGUGAAAUUGAACUCGCUGUGAAGAUGCAGUGUACCCGCGGCAAGACGGAAAGACCCCGUGAACCUUUACUAUAGCUUGACACUGAACAUUGAGCCUUGAUGUGUAGGAUAGGUGGGAGGCUUUGAAGCGUGGACGCCAGUCUGCGUGGAGCCAACCUUGAAAUACCACCCUUUAAUGUUUGAUGUUCUAACGUUGGCCCCUGACCGGGGUUGCGGACAGUGUCUGGUGGGUAGUUUGACUGGGGCGGUCUCCUCCCAAAGCGUAACGGAGGAGCACGAAGGUUAGCUAAUCCUGGUCGGACAUCAGGAGGUUAGUGCAAUGGCAUAAGCUAGCUUGACUGCGAGCGUGACGGCGCGAGCAGGUGCGAAAGCAGGUCAUAGUGAUCCGGUGGUUCUGAAUGGAAGGGCCAUCGCUCAACGGAUAAAAGGUACUCCGGGGAUAACAGGCUGAUACCGCCCAAGAGUUCAUAUCGACGGCGGUGUUUGGCACCUCGAUGUCGGCUCAUCACAUCCUGGGGCUGAAGUAGGUCCCAAGGGUAUGGCUGUUCGCCAUUUAAAGUGGUACGCGAGCUGGGUUUAGAACGUCGUGAGACAGUUCGGUCCCUAUCUGCCGUGGGCGCUGGAGAAUUGAGGGGGGCUGCUCCUAGUACGAGAGGACCGGAGUGGACGCAUCACUGGUGUUCGGGUUGUCAUGCCAAUGGCACUGCCCGGUAGCUAAAUGCGGAAGAGAUAAGUGCUGAAAGCAUCUAAGCACGAAACUUGCCCCGAGAUGAGUUCUCCCUGAGACUAUAAGUCUCCUGAAGGAACGUUAAAGACGAUGACGUUGAUAGGCCGGGUGUGUAAGCGCAGCGAUGCGUUGAGCUAACCGGUACUAAUGAACCGUGAGGCUUAACCUUACAACGCCGAAG